rnacentral:rRNA from 1 species
AUUGAACGCUGGCGGCAUGCCUUACACAUGCAAGUCGAACGGCAGCACGGGAGCAAUCCUGGUGGCGAGUGGCGAACGGGUGAGUAAAGUAUCGGAACGUGCCCAGUCGUGGGGGAUAACGUAGCGAAAGUUACGCUAAUACCGCAUACGAUCUAUGGAUGAAAGCGGGGGAUCGCAAGACCUCGCGCGAUUGGAGCGGCCGAUAUCAGAUUAGGAAGUUGGUGGGGUAAAGGCUCACCAAGCCGACGAUCUGUAGCUGGUCUGAGAGGACGACCAGCCACACUGGGACUGAGACACGGCCCAGACUCCUACGGGAGGCAGCAGUGGGGAAUUUUGGACAAUGGGCGAAAGCCUGAUCCAGCCAUACCGCGUGCAGGAUGGAGGCCUUCGGGUUGUAAACUGCUUUUGUACGGAACGAAAAGGUUUGGCCUAAUAAGCUGAGCUCAUGACGGUACCGUAAGAAUAAGCACCGGCUAACUACGUGCCAGCCGCCGCUGUAA